GUAGGUGGCAAGCGUUGUCCGGAAUUAUUGGGCGUAAAGCGCGCGCAGGCGGUUCUUUAAGUCUGAUGUGAAAGCCCGCGGCUCAACCGUGGAGGGUCAUUGGAAACUGGAGAACUUGAGUACAGAAGAGGAAAGCGGAAUUCCACGUGUAGCGGUGAAAUGCGUAGAGAUGUGGAGGAACACCAGUGGCGAAGGCGGCUUUCUGGUCUGUAACUGACGCUGAGGCGCGAAAGCGUGGGGAGCAAACAGGAUUAGAUACCCUGGUAGUCCACGCCGUAAACGAUGAGUGCUAAGUGUUAGGGGGUUUCCGCCCCCCUUAGUGCUGCAGCUAACGCAUUAAGCACUCCGCCUGGGAGUACGGCCGCAAGGCUG
rnacentral:rRNA from 1 species